rnacentral:tRNA from 1 species
CAGAGCGUAGCUUAGAUAGUCAAAGCAUCUCCCUUACACUGAGAAACCCCCCGUGCGAUUCGGGGCGCCCUGA